rnacentral:rRNA from 1 species
UACGUAGGGGGCUAGCGUUGUCCGGAAUUAUUGGGCGUAAAGGGCGCGUAGGCGGCCCGGUAAGUCAAAGGUGAAAUCCCUCGGCUCAACUGAGGAACUGCCUUUGAAACUGUCGGGCUUGAGGCCGGGAGGGGGUAGCGGAAUUCCCCAAGUAGAGGUGAAAUUCGUAGAUAUCAGGAGGAACACCGGUGGCGAAGGCGGGUCUCUGGGCCGAUACUGACGCUGAGGAGCGAAAGCGUGGGGAGCGAACAGG